rnacentral:tRNA from 1 species
GGCUCCAUAUUUCAACGGAUAGAAUGCGACCUUGCGGAGGUUGUGAUUUGGGUUCGAUUCCCAAUGGAGCCG